rnacentral:rRNA from 1 species
CCUACGGGUGGCAGCAGUGAGGAAUAUUGGUCAAUGGACGAGAGUCUGAACCAGCCAAGUAGCGUGAAGGAUGACUGCCCUAUGGGUUGUAAACUUCUUUUAUAAAGGAAUAAAACGAGGCACGUAUGCCUUUUUGCAUGUACUUUAUGAAUAAGGAUCGGCUAACUCCGUGACAGCAGCCGCGGUAAUACGGAGGAUCCGAGGGUUAUCCGGAUGUAUUGGGUUUAAGGGGUGCGUAGGAGGACUGUUAAGUCAGCGGUAAAAGCCCGGGGCGCAACCCCGGCGAGCCGUUGAAACUGGCUGUCUUGAGAUGUCGAGAGGUAUGCGGAAUGCGUAGUGUAGCGGUGAAAUGCUUAGAUAUUGCGAAGAACUCCGAUUGCGAAGGCAGCAUACCGGCGGCGAUCUGACGCUGAGGCACGAAAGCGUGGGUAUCGAACAGGAUUAGAUACCCCAGUAGUC